ACUAACAACCAUGGGGUGGGUGAAAUGUGUACCUACUAGACUGGCCCAAAUAAACUAAAAACUAAAAAGAGAAAAUCUUUUUGUAAUUUUUUCAAAUUUACUUAAAAAAUAGAAAAAUAACUAAGACUCUCAGCACAUUUUAGCAAAGAAGCUAACAUGCACAUAUACUGAAAAACCACGGCCCAAUCGAAAAAUAUCUUUGGCUCACCGGAAAAGUUGGUUACUCCCUAGGAUGGUUCUAGUAUUACACUUCCAUCAAUUACUUUUGGCACUUACCUUCCCCAAAAUUUCAAUCCAUUCUAGAAGAGGCUGUAGAUGGAUCAACAACUACUGACUUCCAAAAGUCGUUGCACCUACGCAACUACGAUGACUCAACUGCCCUCAGUAAAUCGGCAACUCCAACUCUCGAAGACAACAACUUCUGCUCACACCCCUCCAGAGGAAAUCAUGUUAUGGAUGCUAAGUUCACGAAAAAGGUGAAAAUGUGUUUUUGGCUACUAUUUGGAGUAAUUAUGGAUGUUUGGGACACUUUUCAACUUGUUCAUUAUCAAAGCAUGUUUGAGAAUUAAAGAAAAGCUAAAAAAAAAAAUGACUCCCGAUACCUACUAAGUCAACCUACAGACCGCAAGUAGGACCUACGGACCGUAGGUAGGCAAAGAAAGUGCUAGAAGUCCAAAAUUCCAAGAGAUGAAUUUGCAGGAAUUUUCCACCCACUACCUGCGCCCUGUACCUGCACCUAGGGUCAAGACUGCAGAUACUAUCUGCGCUCGAGUUCUGAGCGCAGGUACAGACCACAUGUGGCCACUAACCUAGUUUUGUCCUAUUUCAUUUGGUCUUUUGUUUUAGGGUUUUCUCAUGUACUAUAAAUAUCCUUUAUGUGUUUAUAGUAGGAGUAAUCCACUUUUGAUACUCACACACAUAUUUUGAUUCCAAGAUCCAAUUUUGAUCUUAGGAUUCUGUUGUAUUGACUUUGGUUCAUUAAUUCAAUUACGAUUGUGGGUUUUUGUA